rnacentral:lncRNA from 1 species
AUGCUUGCCUCUUCCUUGUUUGCGGAAGUCAACAAAAAGCUUUCUUCAGUUUGUCUGUCUCAGUCACGCACAGCUGUAAUCGUCCAAUCUCUUUCUUAUAAUAAGCUAUCAAAUUCUCUUUGUUUCCAUCCAAAUUUUUUAAUGUCUGCAUCUCCGAUGCUGGCUUGGCAUUUUCAAUUUCUGUGUUCUUCAAAUGUAUCUUGUAGCGUUCCAUGUACCGUCUCUGUCUUCAACUGGCAUUCAAGCUGUUCUUUUUCAAGGCCUACUUUCUUAAGUUUGUCUUUUAAGCUGUCUAACUCUGUUUCUUUUGCAAUACUCCAUCCAGCCUUGAAAAUACCAACCCAGUCUUUAUGGUGGAGAUGUAUAUGAGGAGUCAAAGUAUAAUGGCAUUCAAGGUGCCCAUUAGGCAGGUAACUGUUUGCGAUAUUUUGAAAGAUAGCAUGGGCAAAAUUUGAAGUCUGAAGUGCACUACUUGAAGAUGCGACUUCUUGAAAAGAUGUCAUAGUUGCUCUCAUAAGACGCUAAACGCUUCCACUCAAAGCCACAGCUGCCAUUAAGACCUCAGAGCCCCAUCUCGUGCGUCACUUCCAGCCCCUGUGCACAGGCCUUGGGGCCUGGCCUGCUGGAGUUGCCUCUGCCAGACUAGUUCCACUCUCACCACCAUGUACUAGAGUGUGGCCUUCCAGGACACUUUCACAGAACCUCAAGACCCUGCAAUGGGCCAUCAUGAAAAAAACAACAAAUAAGCAGAGAGAAAAAGAGUAAACAUUCCAAGAUUUUCUGCUCCUGGGGGCUUCCAUCAUUAGAAGAACUGUACCAGAACAGACCCAGGGCAAAUCUGGGCCCAACACUCAGUUUCCACAGUGGCCAGCCAGAGUUUCUCAGGAAGCCCACAAGCAGAGUAUGAUUGUGUUAGCUCCCUCUGACUUAUGUUAUCAAAUUGCUGGUGUUGAGCUGCAUGUGGAUGGGCACUGUUGGAAACAGGAUGUUGGAUUUACUCCGGAGUUUGCAUAAGGUAGGUUUUAGG